GUGAGCCGUAUGCUUGGAGACUUGCAAGUACGGUUCUGGGGGAGAGUUGGUGGAAACCUACUAUAGUAAUAUAGCAAGGCACCGCCUUCUUAUCCCGU
rfam:Bacillus circulans strain RIT379 contig28, whole genome shotgun sequence.